GAUGAACGCUGGCGGCGUGCCUAAUACAUGCAAGUCGAGCGAACAGACGAGGAGCUUGCUCCUCUGACGUUAGCGGCGGACGGGUGAGUCACACGUGGAUAACCUACCUAUAAGACUGGGAUAACUUCGGGAAACCGGAGCUAAUACCGGAGAAUAUAUUGAACCGCAUGGUGCAAUAGUGAAAGACGGUUUUGCUGUAACUUAUAGAUGGAUCCGCGCCGCAUUAGCUAGUUGGUAAGGUAAAGGCUUACCAAGGCAACGAUGCGUAGCCGACCUGAGAGGGUGAUAGGCCACAUGGGAACGGAAACGCGGUCCAGACUCCUACGGGAGGCAGCAGUAGGGUACGUUCCGCAAUGGGCGAGAGCCUUACGGAGCAACGCCGCGUGAGUGAUGAAGGUCUUCGGAGCGUAAAACUCUGUUAUUAGUGAAGAACAAAUUUGUAAGUAACCAUGCACGUCUUGACGGUACCUAAUCAGAAAGCCACGGCUAACUACGUG
rnacentral:rRNA from 1 species